UAGAGUUUGAUCCUGGCUCAAAUUGAACGCUGGCGGCAGGCCUAACACAUGCAAGUCGAGCGGCAGCGGGAAAGUAGCUUGCUACUUUUGCCGGCGAGCGGCGGACGGGUGAGUAAUGCCUGGGGAUCUGCCCAGUCGAGGGGGAUAACUACUGGAAACGGUAGCUAAUACCGCAUACGCCCUACGGGGGAAAGCAGGGGACCUUCGGGCCUUGCGCGAUUGGAUGAACCCAGGUGGGAUUAGCUAGUUGGUGAGGUAAUGGCUCACCAAGGCGACGAUCCCUAGCUGGUCUGAGAGGAUGAUCAGCCACACUGGAACUGAGACACGGUCCAGACUCCUACGGGAGGCAGCAGUGGGGAAUAUUGCACAAUGGGGGAAACCCUGAUGCAGCCAUGCCGCGUGUGUGAAGAAGGCCUUCGGGUUGUAAAGCACUUUCAGCGAGGAGGAAAGGUUGGUAGCUAAUAACUGCCAGCUGUGACGUUACUCGCAGAAGAAGCACCGGCUAACUCCGUGCCAGCAGCCGCGGUAAUACGGAGGGCGCAAGCGUUAAUCGGAAUUACUGGGCGUAAAGCGCACGCAGGCGGUUGGAUAAGUUAGAUGUGAAAGCCCCGGGCUCAACCUGGGAAUUGCAUUUAAAACUGUCCAGCUAGAGUCUUGUAGAGGGGGGUAGAAUUCCAGGUGUAGCGGUGAAAUGCGUAGAGAUCUGGAGGAAUACCGGUGGCGAAGGCGGCCCCCUGGACAAAGACUGACGCUCAGGUGCGAAAGCGUGGGGAGCAAACAGGAU
rnacentral:rRNA from 1 species